rnacentral:lncRNA from 1 species
GUUUUUAUGUUGUCUAUAGACUCUAUACUCUAGAACUUGACAAAUGCUCACUAUGAAUAACUACACUUGUCUUCCUAAUAGGUUUUAAAGGACAAUAAAAAUUUUCAAAACUACUUUCAUUGUUAAUUUCCUUGUGUAAAGCAUAACUUCCUAAAAAGGCCAAGGAUUUUGCAAUACAAAAAAGGAAAAGGAAAAGAAAUGUGAUUAUGUUAGCACUUUUUUUUAAUCUUUUUUUUUCUUUUUUAUAAAUAGAGAAUGUUGAUACAUGACACUCGCAUAUAUCAAAGUAUCCCGGGUUAAGGUUUCUGAUAAGGAAUUGCAGAGGACGACUUCUGAAAAUGUAGGAACCACGCGCCGCCGCGAAAUCCAGAGAGCGGUGGAGAUCCGUAAUGGCUUCGUCCCCUCUUCACCUUCCUGUCGGCUGUGAGCAACUCCGUUACCUCCAAAAACCCAAAAACGCAACAAGCAAUUCUGUUUUCGUUUUUCUUUGUUUACAGAUCGGCUUCUCUUCCUUCCCCUUUUUCAGAUCUGCUUCUCUCUUUACAGAUCUGUUUUUUCUUUUUGUUUCCCCUUCUUCUCUGUUUCAGGUGGCCGGCGCUAUGACCAAGGAGCUGCUGGCGACUGUGUUUCUGUCGCGUCUGUGCUGCUGCUGGAGGCUGAAUGGAAGGGAGACAUGUUUCGGUCGGCGAUGGACAAGAAGAAGCUGAAACGGCCAGCAAGAGGGGAGAGUGAGGGGCGAACGACUCUGCCCUCUUUUUGGUCUUGGCGAGCUUGCGGCUGGUUCAGGAGGGAAGGGGUCUCGGGUCUGUCGGGUUGUUGGUUCAAGGGGGGGGAAUGCAGAGGUGAAGGAAAUGGGGCUUCUGGUGGAUCUGUUUUGGCUGAGAGGGGAGGCUCCUUCGGGUGCAGGGAAGAAGGCCGAGAGAGGGGAAUGGGACAGUGUGUGGCUGAAGGUUAAUAGCGGCGGUUCUUGUCUGUCUUUUGACCAGAGAGCUGAGAAGAGAAGAUGAGCGGCGGCCUUUUCAGAGAGGGUGAGGUUUAGGGUUUUUUCUUUUGUUUCCCCUCAUUUUCGGCCGCUCCUCUUUUCCUCAAAAUUUUCUCCUCCCACUCUUUUUUCACUGUAAACUGGUAUUUAUAGGAGAAGUAUGGCUUGGCCACAAUCAUAUUUGUCCCUCAACUGUUUUUUUAUUUUUUUAUUUUAAAUUUAUUUUUUUAAAAAAAAAAAACAAUAUCAACA